UAAGCAAGAUGUGAAAUCGUACGGCUCAACCGUAUACACAUAUUUUGAACUGACAAGCUAGAGUAAUGAGAGGUCACUGGAAUUUCUAGUGUAGGAGUGAAAUCCGUAGAUAUUAGAAGGAACACCGAUGGCGUAGGCAGGUGACUGGCAUAUUACUGACGCUAAGGCACGAAAGCGCGGGGAGCGAACCGGAUUAGAUACCCGGGUAGUCCACGCCGUAAACUAUGGAUGCUA
rnacentral:rRNA from 1 species